GGCCUGAUAGUUCAGUGGUAGAAUUCUUGCUUUGGGUUGUUCAAUCUAAAUUGUAAGAGGUCUCCGGUUCGAUCCCGGAUUAGGCCC
rnacentral:tRNA from 2 species